AUUAAGCCACAUGUUAGUUUUUUUAGCAGGCUAUGAGCAGGUAAGCUUAGGAUAUGCUAAUCAAAUAGAAACCAAGGAGUGUGACAGCUUCAGGAAUUUGUCUGAGAAAAAUCUGAGAGAUCUUUUGAAAUUUGUGAAAUAUCAUCAAUCCAGAGGUUGUCCUAAACCUAAAACAGCAAAGGAGAUGUGGUUGAAGAUGCAAAAUGGAAAAAAAACAAGACUAAAGAAACUUAAUUCCGUGUUCAUGGACAAAGCACUCAGCUGGAGUCUCCAAAGUCAUAGGAGCUCAUGGAACCAUCUAUUUUGCCAUAGUGUUACCCUGGACAUGAGUCCAGUAUCCCUAAUGGUAAUGCAGCUUACCUGUUACCCAGCCUUGGCACCACCAUCUUCUGUGUAAUAUUAUUAGGAGGAUGUGGAGAGCACUUGUCACUUUUCUACAGUUCAGCAUAGGAAGAGAAACAGUAACAAUACUGGCUGUUAUAACACCAUACAGUUCCAUGCUCAGUCAGUAGCUUCAACUUCUGAUGUAUGUGAAGCACUCCUCAGUGAGACCGUGUGUCAUGCACCAACAACCAAAGAUGAAAAAUUUAAUUUUUUACCCCUCAUUAUUAAAGAAAUGACUCCCUGCC